rnacentral:rRNA from 1 species
CAGUAGCCGCGGGAAUACAGAGGAUGCAAGCGUUAUCCGGAAUGAUUGGGCGUAAAGUGUCUAUAGGUGGCUUUUCAAGUCCGCCGUCAAAUCCCAGGGCUCAACCGUGGACAGGCGGUGGAAACUACCAAGCUGGAGUACGGUAGGGGCAGAGGGAACUUCCGAUGGAGCGGUGAAAUGCGUUGAGAUCGGAAAGAACACCAACGGCGUAAGCACUCUGCUGGGCCGACACUGACACUGAGAGACGAAAGCUAGGGGAGCAAAUGGGAUUAGAUACCCGCGUAGUCCCUGUCUCUUAUAC